UACGGGGGGAGCAAGCGUUGUUCGGAUUUACUGGGCGUAAAGGGCGCGUAGGCGGCCACCGCAAGUCGACUGUGAAAUCUCCGGGCUUAACCCGGAAAGGUCAGCCGAUACUGCGGGGCUAGAGUGCAGAAGGGGCAACUGGAAUUCUCGGUGUAGCGGUGAAAUGCGUAGAUAUCAGGAGGAACACCGGUGGCGAAGGCGGCUUUCUGGACAGAUACCGACGCUGAGGCACGAAAGCUAGGGGAGCAAACAGG
rnacentral:rRNA from 1 species